rnacentral:lncRNA from 1 species
AAACUUGAUUAUAGAAAUGAGACAGGAUAGUUCCCUUGACCCACUUCGUGCGUGGGAAUGGAAGUGGCUUGUUUCACUUAGCCUGCCACUGGCCACUCCUCGUGAGACAGAGUGUGCCAGCAAGGGAGUGUGGGAACUGGAGAGAAUGAACCCUGGAUCUGGCCACUCUUCUCUGGCGGAAGCAGGUUCCGUGCGGGCCCUACAGCAGCAUCCAAGCCCCUGUCCUCUUGGCACCCGAGUUCUUGUUUGGCAUCCAGGAAGAAUUAGGUCACCCAUACGGAUUGAAAGGGUAAUGGCUCUCAGCAGGAUGGGAGUUGGAAAGGGGAUGGUGCGGAAAGAAAGUGAUUUUUCCCUGAAGCCACACCAUCUGAAGUUAGCGGCGUCUAUCUGUAGUCUCUGAGACUCAGUUGCUGCUUCUCUGCUUGCUACGCAUAUACCCGGCGCUCAGCCGCUUGUGUUGCUCUGCCAGCUGAAGUCUUUUUUAUACGGGCACAGGAUAGGAGCAUGGCAGGCCAAAAAGCAACAUUUGAGGGCAAAAAUGGGGUCAGCUGUUUUCACACAGGGCUGUGGUUCCAGGUUUAAGGGAGGGGUUUAGCCAGGAGCCAAGCCGUUCUGUAUCAUUUUCCCCCUCUGAAGAGGCACAUCUAACUGCCAUUAGGAUAUGGACAACGACCAGUCUUUCCGUUGUUUAACGAAAGCGGCAGUUGGAUUCCUCCCAGAAGUCUACCCAAGGAUCCCCAGCGAAAGGGAGCCAUAGUCCGAGGCUCUGGCUGCCUGCCUGUUUGGAGCUUUGAUGGCCUCGAGGCCUCAACCUGAAGUUUAGAAUCAAGUUUGAGACCAAAAAAGAAGGUAUUUCAGAGGCUGCAUGGAUUCAUUUAGAUUUAAGUCCCAGAUGGACUUUGCCAAAUUUGCAGUUAUCAGCCAGGAGGGGUCGCUCCUCUGUUGCCUCCCUAACAUAAGCAAAGUGCUGAGCCCCCAGAUGAGACAGGAUUGUUCCCUUCACCUUAACCCCCUUCGUGGGCGGGAACUGGAGCAGCUCAUUUCACUCAGCUCGCCUCCUGCCACUACUGGCGGCAGAGCGUGCGAGUGCGGGAACCGGAGCGAACGAAUGAAUGCUGGAACCGGCCGGUCACUCCUCUCUGACGGGAAUAGGCUCUGUGCGGGCCUCACAGCAGCGUCCAAGCCCUGGCCUCUCGGCACCGGGGUGCCUGUCCGGCGUCCAGGAAGAAUUAGGUCAUACGAACGGAUUGAAGAGUAGUGUAUGCGGAGGAUUUGAUUGAGUGGUGGCUCCUGGUGGGAUGGGAACUGGAAAGCAGACGGUGAAAGAGGGUCAUCUUUCCCUGAAGCCGCACCAUCUGAAGUUAGCUGCGUCUAUCUGCAGUCUUCAACACUCUUGCUGCUUCUCUGCUCUCCGCUCAGCCGCUUGUGUUGCUCUGCCAGCUGAAGUCUUUUUUAUGGCCACAGGAUAGGGGCGUGGCAGGCCAAAAAAACAACAUUUGGGCAGAAAAACAGGGUCAGCUGUUUUCAAGGCCGUGAUUCCAGGCUUAAGGGUGGGGUUUAGCUGGGAGCCCAGCCAUUCUGUAUCAGUGAUAGUUGCACAACUAUAAAUAUACUAACAACCAUUGAAUUGUGUACUUUAAAUAGAUUAACCGUAUGAUAUAUGAAUUACAUCUCAGUAAAGUUGUUUUUUAAAAAAUAUGCAUAUACCUUAGUCUAGCCGUUCCAGGUCAUAUACUACAGCGAUAGUAACAAAGAUAUAAUAUGUGGUUUAUAAUAAUAAAUAUUGGAAAUACUUAAUCUUGCAAAUGCAUGAUCAGUAAGGUAGUGGAGGCAAAAACUAGGUUUCCCAGGAGCUUCAGGCUUCUCAACUUCCGAGUAGUAAUCUCAAGGAAGUACGUACUCUGACUGAAACUGUUUAUGUCACAGACCUACUCCUUAGACCAAUCGCUGUUCCCAUAGAGAUAGCUCAUUAUGAUUUGUGGAGUCAGAAUCAUGUGCCCACUGCUGAAAUCAGGAAUUCAGGGUCCUGGGAGAGUCACCCGUGCCACCCACCUAAUGUUUUCUGGAAGUUUGACUUUAAAAGGAAGAAGACAGCAAGAGAUCAAUAUAGCUGGAGUGUGGAGAUGAGGUGUUUUCUUUAAAAUAGAGGUGACUUGAACACGUUUAAAUGCUUGUGCAAAGUAGCCAAUAUAGAGGGAGCAGUUAAAGACACAAAAGAAAUAGAACAUUUCUAAUCAAUAGAUCUCAGGAAAUUAUUAUUUCCCACUAUCCCUCAGAAAAUUAUAUUCAAUAAAGGAAUUUGUUUCUGGAUCCUUGGAGGAUUAACUUUCCUUUUCAUGCUUAGGCAAUACAAAGUUGAAUCACCACUUUAAACCACAUUACACAGACUAGAAGGCGAAACUCCAAUGCCCAGGCCAUUAUGUUAAUCAAUACUUCAACCUUCAUUUUUUUUUCUUUUUUUUUUUUGAGACGGAGUUUACGCUCUCGUUGCCCAGGCUGGA